rnacentral:lncRNA from 1 species
GGGCAGCAGCCUGAAGUCCUGGACAGGUUGUGCAGUCCUUCACUGUGACAUGCUUGGCCUCUGGAUCCCCGACUUUGGCACUGCACAAGCUUGUUCCCAAGAAAUGGAACGUACUCCUCUGAAAUGGAGGCAUGAGGGAAGUGCUGGUUCCUGCUGCAUGCCCUUGACUUAAGCAGAUGGAAACGUGGCUUUCCGUUUGCCUUUGUGGAGCUGUGUAUUGCAUGAACAAAACAUGCUAACAGAUCUUCCUAACUGGGAUAGGCUUUGAAUAAAUGUUAGAAAACUAAAAGAUUGUCCCA